UACGGGGGGGCAAGCGUUGUUCGGAAUUACUGGGCGUAAAGGGCGCGUAGGCGGCCUGCUAAGUCGAACGUGAAAUCCCUGGGCUCAACCCAGGAACUGCGUCCGAUACUGGUUGGCUUGAAUCCGGGAGAGGGAUGUGGAAUUCCAGGUUGUGAGCGGUGAAAUGCGUAGAUAUACUGGAGGAACACCGGUGGCGAAGGCGACAUCCUGGACCGGCAUUGACGCUGAGGCGCGAAAGCCAGGGGAGCAAACGGG
rnacentral:rRNA from 1 species